AAAAAUUUAUGAAUGAAUUGAAUUGUAAAUGUUCGGGCAAAGACGCGAGAGAGCGAGAGACAUUUCAGUCAUUGAUGUUCAAAAGAAAGCCAUCAUUUUGUUAGAGAUUUCUCAGCAGAAAUUUACAUCCAAAAUCGUGCAAAGAAGGAUUGAUUCCUUCUGUGUUCUAACUCAAUCACUAAACUUGUAAGAUACAGGGCCAGGACUCAAGUGGCAUCAUGGUGAAAACCAUUACAUAGUUUAUUUGCUUCAUGCGUUCAGCCUUAAAAUGGACAUAAAUGCCACAGAAUAUUUACAUACAGAAUGAUCUAAUAAAGCCGAAACUUUGCUAAUAGUCUGAAUGCCAAGCACAUGCUACGACGUUUCUUGUUAUUUGCUACACCGCUCUAUACAAAACGUCUUCCGCUGUCAUUGACUGUGACAGCAAAAGUUCUUAUUGUUGGUACAACAGCGUUAAGAAAGUGGAAAAUAAAGGAAAAAGCAAAAAAACUCAAGACAUCUAAAUAUCUUUCAAAAUCCUGAUCACGUAAGGUGCAUUUGCUUAAAAGUCUUUCUUAUUUUUCAAUAAGCUGCAGGUAGUUUUCCCUUUUCUUUGGUAUUUAAAGAAACGUGGUGUUUGCGUUUAUUUUUCGGUAUGCUAGUUACGUAUUUUAAACUUUUUUUCUUUGAAAACAAAUUUUGACUUUGUUAACGAUGCCUGGAAUCAAGAUCUGUGAUGAAGAUCGAGAAAAAAUCCCUGCGAAGUAUAUAUGUACUUACUGUCAUCUCCUUCUCAUCAAUCCAAUGCAGACCAUGUGUGGACAUUUGUUUUGCAAAUCUUGUAUUGAGAAUCUUCUCGGAAAUCCUGAUCCAAAAUGUCCUGAAGAUAAAGAAAAUUUGACCAAGGAAAACCUAGGUGGAAAUAUUGCAAAGAUUUGACAGAAAAUUCAAUUACAGUUUUGUUGCUAUCGAUCAUUAGCGUAGCCAUCCCGCAAGUUUAGUCCUGCUUUGUAAAUGUUUUCCAGAAUGCUUUUAUGAAGCGUGAGUUCAAAAGGAUUCAAUUACACUGUCCAUCUGAAGCGUGUAAAUGGUUUGGUACAUACAAAGAAUUGGAGGGUCAUUCUUAAGUGUUUGAGCAUGCGCUUAUCAACUGUAUACAUAAACAGUGUAACAUUCAGCUACCUCGCUCUCUUCUUGGUGAACAUUUGAAGAAUGAAUGUGAAUAUCGAAAUGUAAAAUGUGAAUAUUGUGGUAAAGAUGUCCCGUAUGCUUCACUUAAGGAUCACAAAGAAAAUGUAUGUGGAAAUUAUCCCGUGAUUUGUAAAUAUUGCAAUCAAAUAAUACCGAAGAAAGAUACUGAACACCAUGAAAAGACGACUUGUGAUGAAGUGCCGACAAAAUAUGAAUUUCAUACCAUUGGAUGCAGUUAUGACAAAAUGGUUUCUCGAUGCGUGAAAGGAUUGCGACCCUCGAGCGGCAAGCAAGAGAUAAUUCAUUCAUUAUGUUACAGUUUUACGAGCCUUUCGACCAUAUUGACGUAUCACUUGUGCGAAUUCAAGGCAUGGCUGACCAAGUCCCUGCUUUUUUUGUCAAUCUCUUUGAAAAAGUGGAAAUUUUAGAGCGUGAAGUAAGAGCUAAUACAUCUACUAUACAAUGGACUAGCAAGCGUUUGGACGAGGUAGACGAAUUACGUGUGCAAAACUCGGCUAUGGGAGCACAAAAUGAGGCGCGUGAACUUUGAUGAAAUCAUGCAAAGCAAUUAUUGCUAUUUUUCGUAAUUACUUGCCAAUUUAUUAUUUUUCACUCCUGUAAAUGAUUUUUAUUCUAUUCAGUUUUACAUUUUAGUAAUUUUGAAAAAUGUUCAUUGUAUUUUUUAUUGUAUCAUCCAUCCACGAUGAUAGAAUAUCCUUGUAAAUUAAUAAUACAAUUAUGUUGAUAUUAUGCUAUAUUGUAUUGUAAAUGUAAUUUAACAUGCAGCUUUGAUAUAGCAAGAUCAUAAAAUGAUGUCCAUUUAUUUGUAAUUUAUAUUACUGUAAGUUUUAUCUGAAAAACUCCAUACACAAAUAAAGAGUCUGUGAAGACCUACCGUUUCUAUGUUCUGUAAGUACAAUUAAAUAAAUAAAAAAGAAAUUUGCUAAUUAAAUGUAGCGUAAGAGA